rnacentral:rRNA from 1 species
UUUUGACCUCGGAUCAGGUAGGGAUACCCGCUGAACUUAAGCAUAUCAAUAAGCGGAGGAAAAGAAACCAACAGGGAUUGCCCUAGUAACGGCGAGUGAAGCGGCAACAGCUCAAAUUUGAAAUCUGGCUCUUUUAGAGUCCGAGUUGUAAUUUGCAGAGGGCGCUUUGGCUUUGGCAGCGGUCCAAGUUCCUUGGAACAGGACGUCACAGAGGGUGAGAAUCCCGUACGUGGUCGCUGGCUAUUGCCGUGUAAAGCCCCUUCGACGUGUCGAGUUGUUCGGGAAUGCAGCUCUAAAUGGGAGGUACAUUUCUUCUAAAGCUAAAUAUUGGCCAGAGACCGAUAGCGCACAAGUAGAGUGAUCGAAAGAUGAAAAGCACUUUGGAAAGAGAGUCAAACAGCACGUGAAAUUGUUGAAAGGGAAGCGCUUGCAGCCAGACUUGCUUGCAGUUGCUCAUCCGGGCUUUUGCCCGGUGCACUCUUCUGUAGGCAGGCCAGCAUCAGUUUGGGCGGUGGGAUAAAGGUCUCUGUCACGUACCUCUCUUCGGGGAGGCCUUAUAGGGGAGACGACAUACCACCAGCCUGGACUGAGGUCCGCGCAUCUGCUAGGAUGCUGGCGUAAUGGCUGUAAGCGGC